rnacentral:piRNA from 1 species
UUGACUAUAGUUCUCAGUGACUGGUAUUCA